rnacentral:rRNA from 1 species
AGCGAACGCUGGCGGCAGGCCUAACACAUGCAAGUCGAACGGGCUCUUCGGAGCUAGUGGCGGACGGGUGAGUAACACGUGGGAACGUGCCUUUAGGUUCGGAAUAAGCCCGGGAAACUGGGUCUAAUACCGAAUGUGCCCUUCGGGGGAAAGAUUUAUCGCCUUUAGAGCGGCCCGCGUCUGAUUAGCUAGUUGGUGAGGUAAUGGCUCACCAAGGCGACGAUCAGUAGCUGGUCUGAGAGGAUGACCAGCCACAUUGGGACUGAGACACGGCCCAAACUCCUACGGGAGGCAGCAGUGGGGAAUCUUGCGCAAUGGACGAAAGCCUGACGCAGCCAUGCCGCGUGGAUGAUGAAGGUCUUAGGAUUGUAAAAUCCUUUCACCGGUGAAGAUAAUGACUGUAGCCGGAGAAGAAGCCCCGGCUAACUUCGUGCCAGCCGCCGCGGUAAGAC